GCCAGUAAGAAACAUCCCUCCAUGGCCUCUGCAUCAGCUCCUGCUUCCUGACCUGCUUGAGUUCCAGUCCUGACUUCCUUUAGUGAUGAACAGCAAUGUGGAAGUGUGUGAUGGUUUGAAUGAGAAUGACCCCAGGGGCUGCUUUUUUGACAUAUGUGACUGCUUCAUCCCCAGCUGGUGAACUGUCUAUACCUCAGGAUGGACACUCCCAGCUCCUGCUGCAGCAUACUUGUCUGCCUACAGCCAUGAACGAUCGUGGACUCACCUUCUGCAACUGUCAGCAAGCCUCCAAUUAAAUGCUUUUCUAAAAGUUGCCUUGAUCAUAG